CCUGACUGCUAUCGGAUUGGUACUAAGCCAUGUGAGUCGUUGUAGCAAUACAAGGCAUACGGCUCAGUAACACGUAGUCAAUCUAACCUAUGGACGGGGAUAACCUCGGGAAACUGAGGAUAAAACCCGAUAGAUCAUAAUGCCUGGAACGGUUUAUGGUUCAAAUGAUUCGUCGCCGUAGGGUGGGACUGCGGCCUAUCAGCUUGUUGGUGAGGUAAUGGCCCACCAAGGCUAUUACAGGUACGGGCUCUGAGAGGAGAAGCCCGGAGAUGGGUACUGAGACACGGACCCAGGCCCUAUGGGGCGCAGCAGGCGAGAAACCUUUGCAAUGUGCGCAAGCACGACAAGGUUAAUCCGAGUGUUUCCUGUUAAAGGAAUCUUUUGUUAGUUCUAAAACCACUAUUGAAUAAGGGGUGGGCAAGUUCUGGUGUCAGCCGCCGCGGUAAAACCAGCACCUCAAGUGGUCAGGAUGAUUAUUGGGCCUAAAGCAUCCGUAGCCUGUUCUGUAAGUUUCCGGUUAAAUCCAUUAGCUCAACUAAUGGGCUGCCGAAAAUACUGCAGAACUAGGGAGUGGGAGAGGUAGACGGUACUCGGUAGGAAGGGGUAAAAUCCUUUGAUCUAUUGAUGACCACCAGUGGCGAAGGCGGUCUACCAGAACACGUUCGACGGUGAGGGAUGAAAGCUGGGGGAGCAAACCGGAUUAGAUACCCGGGUAGUCCCAGCUGUAAACGAUGCAGACUCGGUGAUGCGCUGGCUUGUGGCCAGUGCAGUGCCGCAGGGAAGCCGUUAAGUUUGCCGCCUGGGAAGUACGUACGCAAGUAUGAAAC
rnacentral:rRNA from 1 species